AGAGUUUGAUCCUGGCUCAGGAUGAACGCUGGCGGCGUGCUUAACACAUGCAAGUCGAACGAAGCACUUUAUUUGAUUUCCUUCGGGACUGAUUAUUUUGUGACUGAGUGGCGGACGGGUGAGUAACGCGUGGGUAACCUGCCUCAUACAGGGGGAUAACAGUUGGAAACGACUGCUAAUACCGCAUAAGCGCACAGUACCGCAUGGUACAGUGUGAAAAACUCCGGUGGUAUGAGAUGGACCCGCGUCUGAUUAGCUAGUUGGUAAGGUAACGGCUUACCAAGGCGACGAUCAGUAGCCGACCUGAGAGGGUGACCGGCCACAUUGGGACUGAGACACGGCCCAAACUCCUACGGGAGGCAGCAGUGGGGAAUAUUGCACAAUGGGGGAAACCCUGAUGCAGCGACGCCGCGUGAGCGAAGAAGUAUUUCGGUAUGUAAAGCUCUAUCAGCAGGGAAGAAAAUGACGGUACCUGACUAAGAAGCACCGGCUAAAUACGUGCCAGCAGCCGCGGUAAUACGUAUGGUGCAAGCGUUAUCCGGAUUUACUGGGUGUAAAGGGAGCGCAGGCGGUGCGGCAAGUCUGAUGUGAAAGCCCGGGGCUCAACCCCGGUACUGCAUUGGAAACUGUCGUACUAGAGUGUCGGAGGGGUAAGUGGAAUUCCUAGUGUAGCGGUGAAAUGCGUAGAUAUUAGGAGGAACACCAGUGGCGAAGGCGGCUUACUGGACGAUGACUGACGUUGAGGCUCGAAAGCGUGGGGAGCAAACAGGAUUAGAUACCCUGGUAGUCCACGCCGUAAACG
rnacentral:rRNA from 1 species